AGGGUUUGAUUCUGGCUCAGGACGAACGCUGGCGGCGCGCCUAACACAUGCAAGUCGAACGAGCGAGAGAGAGCUUGCUUUCUCGAGCGAGUGGCGAACGGGUGAGUAACGCGUGAGGAACCUGCCUCAAAGAGGGGGACAACAGUUGGAAACGACUGCUAAUACCGCAUAAGCCCACGGGUCGGCAUCGACCAGAGGGAAAAGGAGCAAUCCGCUUUGAGAUGGCCUCGCGUCCGAUUAGCUAGUUGGUGAGGUAACGGCCCACCAAGGCAACGAUCGGUAGCCGGACUGAGAGGUUGAACGGCCACAUUGGGACUGAGACACGGCCCAG
rnacentral:rRNA from 1 species